UAAGGAAUAUUGGACAAUGGUCGCAAGACUGAUCCAGCCAUGCCGCGUGCAGGAAGACGGCCCUAUGGGUUGUAAACUGCUUUUGUACCAGAGAAAACCUAUCUACGUGCAGAUAGCUGAUAGUAUGGUAAGAAUAAGCAUCGGCUAACUUCGUGCCAGCAGCCGCGGUAAGACGAAGGAUGCAAGCGUUAUCCGGAUUCAUUGGGUUUAAAGGGUGCGUAGGCGGGCUUGUAAGUCAGUGGUGAAAUCUCUCAGCUUAACUGAGAAACUGCCAUUGAUACUGCAGGCCUAGAGUAUAGAUGACGUUGGCGGAAUAUGACAUGUAGUGGUGAAAUACUUAGAUAUGUCAUAGAACACCGAUUGCGAAGGCAGCUAACGAAACUAUAACUGACGCUGAGGCACGAAAGUGCGGGGAUCAAACA
rnacentral:rRNA from 1 species